GCCCAACUCCUACGGGAGGCAGCAGUAGGGAAUCUUGCACAAUGGGGGAAACCCUGAUGCAGCGAUGCCGCGUGAGUGAAGAAGGCCUUUGGGUUGUAAAGCUCUUUCGUCGGGGAAGAAAAUGACUGUACCCGAAUAAGAAGGUCCGGCUAACUUCGUGCCAGCAGCCGCGGUAAUACGAAGGGACCUAGCGUAGUUCGGAAUUACUGGGCUUAAAGAGUUCGUAGGUGGUUAAAAAAGUUGGUGGUGAAAUCCCAGAGCUUAACUCUGGAACUGCCAUCAAAACUUUUUAGCUAGAGUAUGAUAGAGGAAAGCAGAAUUUCUAGUGUAGAGGUGAAAUUCGUAGAUAUUAGAAAGAAUACCAAUUGCGAAGGCAGCUUUCUGGAUCAUUACUGACACUGAGGAACGAAAGCAUGGGUAGCGAAGAGGAUUAGAUACCCUCGUAGUCCAUGCCGUAAACGAUGUGUGUUAGACGUUGGAAAUUUAUUUUCUGUGUCGCAGCGAAAGCAAUAAACACACCGCCUGGGGAGUACGACCGCAAGGUUAAAACUCAAAUGAAUUGACGGGGACCCGCACAAGUAGUGGAGCAUGUGGUUUAAUUCGAAGAUACGCGCAGAACCUUACCAACACUUGACAUGUUCGUCGCGACUUUAAGAGAUUAAAGUUUUCGGUUCGGCCGGACGAAACACAGGUGCUGCAUGGCUGUCGUCAGCUCGUGUCGUGAGAUGUUGGGUUAAGUCCCGCAACGAGCGCAACCCUCACUUUUAGUUGCCAUCAUUAAGUUGGGCACUCUGAAAGAACUGCCAGUGAUAAGCUGGAGGAAGGUGGGGAUGACGUCAAGUCCUCAUGGCCCUUACGUGUUGGGCUACACACGUGCUACAAUGGCAUUUACAAUAGGAAGCAAGACGGCGA
rnacentral:rRNA from 1 species